UGGGGAAUAUUGCGCAAUGGGCGAAAGCCUGACGCAGCGACGCCGCGUGAGGGAUGAAGGUUUUCGGAUCGUAAACCUCUGUCAGAAGGGAAGAAACCGCACUGUGCUAAUCAGCAGUGUCUUGACGGUACCUUCAAAGGAAGCACCGGCUAACUCCGUGCCAGCAGCCGCGGUAAUACGGAGGGUGCAAGCGUUAAUCGGAAUUACUGGGCGUAAAGCGCACGUAGGCUGCUUUGUAAGUCAGGGGUGAAAUCCCACGGCUCAACCGUGGAACUGCCUGUGAGACUGCUUAGCUUGAAUCCGGGAGAGGGUGGCGGAAUUCCAGGUGUAGGAGUGAAAUCCGUAGAUAUCUUGAGGAACAUCAGUGGCGAAGGCGGCCACCUGGACCGGUAUUGACGCUGAGGUGCGAAAGCGUGGGGAGCAAACAGG
rnacentral:rRNA from 1 species